AGUGAACGCUGGCGGUAGGCCUAACACAUGCAAGUCGAACGGCAGCACAGUGAGAGCUUGCUCUUACGGGUGGCGAGUGGCGGACGGGUGAGGAAUGCAUCGGAAUCUACUUUUUCGUGGGGGAUAACGUAGGGAAACUUACGCUAAUACCGCAUACGACCUACGGGUGAAAGCAGGGGAUCUUCGGACCUUGCGCGAUUGAAUGAGCCGAUGUCGGAUUAGCUAGUUGGCGGGGUAAAGGCCCACCAAGGCGACGAUCCGUAGCUGGUCUGAGAGGAUGAUCAGCCACACUGGAACUGAGACACGGUCCAGACUCCUACGGGAGGCAGCAGUGGGGAAUAUUGGACAAUGGGCGCAAGCCUGAUCCAGCCAUACCGCGUGGGUGAAGAAGGCCUUCGGGUUGUAAAGCCCUUUUGUUGGGAAAGAAAAGCAGCAGGUUAAUACCCCGCUGUUCUGACGGUACCCAAAGAAUAAGCACCGGCUAACUUCGUG
rnacentral:rRNA from 1 species